rnacentral:antisense_RNA from 1 species
CUUGACCGAACCGAGCCACAGCGGCAGGCCCGGGUCACGGUCGCGGCCGUAGGUGGCGAGCAGCGCCUGCGCUUC